GUAGGUGAACCUGCGGAAGGAUCAUUAACACGUAUUUAAAAACUACGUUUUAACAAACCCCUCCAAAAAAUUACCAGGGACUCUUAAAAAAGUUCCUGCCCACCUUUUUAUAAACCCCCUUUUUUAUAUUAAUCUAACCUUAUUUUCUUUUUUUUUUCGUUUUUUUUUCAAACGCAAGUUUGGAAUCAUGAUGAAGGAAAAUUUAAGAAAAAAUUAUUAAAAUACGAACAACUCUUAACAACGGAUAUCUUGGUUCUC
rnacentral:misc_RNA from 1 species